ensembl:snoRNA
AUCCUCUCGUGGUUCGUGAGCGUGAUGACUGCGCGUCCACGCGCCUGCGUGACUUGCCUCCCUCGGACCCGGGCACGGCAUCGGCCCGCCGCCCAUCUGACG